GGAAGAGACGCCACUUGUCAACAGUGUUUGAGGACUUGGCAGACACCGCUAGUGCCAGGCUCUUGGUCAAGUUUUGAAACCUGCAGAACACAAGAGCUCCUAUGACCUCAAUUUAUUUCCACAGAUCCUGCCUGAGCGUGUCAACUUGGAAGGGCGGUUUUGGCUUCAGCACCAAUGGUCUGACCCUCGGACCGCGAUGCCUCUUUGGACAACAGCGUGCGAGGACGCUUGCCAUCUUCACCCUCAGCUGUUCCCAAAAACUCUGGAAAAGCCGUGACCGACAGCCAGAUGGACGUCUUUGAAACAAAAUUCGAAAUCCAACGUCGGUCAUCAGGCGAACCAAUGCCAGUCGGCCAGUCGAAUUCUCCCCAAGGUUGUUGCAGAGCAGUGAGAGCCAGGUCGAAGAGAUGCCACUCGUCAACAGUGUUUGAGGACUUGGCAGACACCGCAGCGCCAGUCUUUUGGUCAAGUUUUGAAACCUGCAGUACACAGAGCUCCUUUGACCUCAAGCCUCAACCAGUCCAAUGACAACAUUGAGCGGCAGAAAUGGAAAAAUGAAAUCCUUAAGUUCGAGGUUGUGAUGGCCUACCACCGUCGGUCACCAGGCAAACCAAUGCCAGUCGGCCAGUCGAAAUCUUCCCAAGGUUGUUGCAGAGCAGUGAGCAGGUGGAAGAGACGCCACUCGUCAACAGUGUUUGAGGACUUGGCAGACACCGCCAGUGCCAGGCUUGUGGUCAAGUUUUGAAACCUGCAGAAUACAAGAGCUCCUAUGACGUCAAGUAGGUUAAAAUCUAUUCUGCAUGCGACGAUCAAGACAGUAAUGUGACUAGGUUGAUUUGUGCAUUUGCCACAGAUAGGCGCAACAUCCUCCAGUUUUGCCUGAGAGCCCAAUGUUUUCAUUUUUAUUAUCCUGUUUAAAUUUAAAGUUUAAUGAAUCGUUAUCUGGGUGAAUUUUGUCAUUGUUACUAAAAAAAAUGUAUAAAUUAAGCAACUGCACUUAUGCCAAUUAUCUUUUUGUAAUGGAGUGGUUGCACCCCCGCAACAGAUACCGGUCCAACGGAGCGGACAACAGCUGAAGGCCGCCCCUAACAGGGGACGUUGCCCGCCACCGCUGGCAAUGCGUCGUCUGAAUGGCUUGUGUGUGAAUAAUGCCGAGGCAUCACAACCACCCAUUGAGCUUCUGCAUUCGCCAUGCGGGAACACGAUUUGGUGUCCAGGGCUUGGUUGCGACUAAAGUCCUGUGUCUGAACGCAUGGGAGGUGCGGAGAAUUCAGAUGACACUGAUGCUGACGUGGUGCACUCAUGAGAUUGAGUUGUCAUGAGUGUGGCAAUGGGCGUGAAAGAGGUUGGGUUCGUUGUUGGCACCCUUGUGUAGUCCAGUAUUUUUGGUCACGCCGGGCUUGCCUCCUCGAACACCUUCCACGUUGCGCAACCGGGAGCCCCUGCCCCCGAACAAUAGCCGGAAGUGAGUCUCAGUACCGCGGAUGUCUGCUUAAGUUUGAAGGGAUGUCAAACCACUCCACUCUAAUACUUUCUUAAUUUAUUCAAA